CCUAUGGGCGGCAGCAGUGGGGAAUAUUGCACAAUGGGGGGAACCCUGAUGCAGCGACGCCGCGGGGGUGAAGAAGUAUUUCGGUAUGUAAAGCCCUAUCAGCAGGGAAGAAAAAUGACGGUACCUGACUAAGAAGCACCGGUUAAAUACGUGCAAGCAGCCGCGGUAAUACGUAGGGUGCAAGCGUUAUCCGGAUGUACUGGGUGAAAAGGGGGCGCAGGCGGCACGCUAAGCCUGAUGUGAACACCGGCGGCCAAACCGCGGGAGUGCAUUGGGAACUGGCGGGCUGGAGUACCGGAGGGGCAGGCGGAAUUCCUGGUGUAGCGGGGAAAUGGGUAGAUAUUAGGGGGAACA
rnacentral:rRNA from 1 species